rnacentral:lncRNA from 1 species
UGGAGCCUGGAUUUAUGAUUGGGAGUUUUCCUUCUGAGUACAAUGCCCUGCACAUCUAAGAUUUGUUUUCAAAGAGAAAUGGAACUAUCUGACAUAUUUCUGACUUGGUUUUUAAUUCCUCUUGUCCUCGUGUUAGUCUCAUAUAGAAAGUGUAGAGGAGAGAUGAGGAGUAGGGAGGAGAAGAGGUGGGGACAGGAAAUGGAAAGUAGCAAGAAAAGGGGAAAUGUAGAAGAGAGGGAAGGGGGAGGGAGAUGGGGAGAGGGAGGAGGGAAGAGGCAUGGCAAGAGGAAGUGGGAAAGGGAGUUGGGGAGGAUAAGUCACAGACUGAGCAACCACAGUUCCUCACACUGUGCUUGAUUAUUUCCGUAGAGGUCAAUCCAUUUACUUCUUAUAAUCUGUGAGCUGAGUCAGGAAGCUUGCAACUCAGUAAGGCAGAAGCCUUAGAUUCACACAGCCAAUAAUAUUGGAUGCUCUGGUUUCUCUUCAGAACAAAUAAAUAUUUGGCCUUUUACUAAAGAUUUCCAUGGAGAGGAACAAUUAUUAAUUAAUAACCAAAUUUUUGAGGUCCUGCUUAGGCAGGGCCAAGUAAAUAAUAAUAAAUAAAUAAAUAAAUAAAUAAAUAAAUAAAUAAUGAUUAGAUUAAACUCCAGAUCUUUCUGACUCUGAAACCAACUUUCUCCUAGUGCCCACCUCUGGGAACUGGAAUUCCCAAAGGCAGUAAUUUAUUAAGGAGCGGGGUCCGGGGCAAUACGAUGGGGACCCCAAAUAUGCAGGGUAUGCAAGGGCAAGAUUAAAGGAAACUAACAAGGAAUGGUGCAUUACCUUGGCGUUAGCAACUUCCUGAGAACUAAGCUCUGGGAGAGGGCUACCCAGGCACCACAACCGUCAAUACAAGAAUGCACUAAUGACAGCCUACAGGGAGGCAGGGUAGGGGUCACAAUAUAUCACCCACCCUUGUCUACAACCCUCCUCCAAAGCUCCUCCAUGGAAAACUCUCAUUUGCCACCAAAAAGAAGAGUAUUUGAUCAUUUUUGACUAGGCUUGCUAACAAUUUCAUUGAACAGAAGGUAACAAAAGAAAUGCGACAGACACUUCAUUCUGAACAGUCAAGAACAAUUGAUUAAACAGAAGUGUGAAGAACCUUUGAAUAAAGGGAUUGAUUGUGUUAUCUGAAAAUCCAAAGGCAAGGAAGGUAAAACUGGUUGUAGACUUUAGGAAAACACAUUUCUACUGAUGCACAGAAAAGAUAGAAUCACAGAAGAAAUAGUAUCAGGGGACUCUAAUCCAAGCUAGAAGCUCUGAAAAUAUACUUCUGGCUAUUUAAUAAGAAUACCAUAGGCCAGGCAUGGUGGCUCACGCCUGUAAUUCCAGCACUUUGAGAGGCUGAGGUGGGCAGAUGGCUUGAGCCCAGGUGUUCAAGACCAGCCUGGGCAACACAGGGAGACCCUACUUCCACGAAAAAUACAAAAGUUAGCUGGGCACGGUGGUGCAUACCUGUGGUCCCAGCCACUUGGGAGGCUGAGGUGGAAGGAUCGCUUGAGCCCAGGAGGUUGAGGCUGCAUUGAGCCGUGAUCAUGCCACUGCACUCCAGCCUGGGCCACAGAGCGAGACCCUGUCUCAAAAAAAAAAAAAAAUUGUAAUACUGUUUAAAACUAGAGAAAUAAUUUAAUAAACAAAUUUUGCUGUGAGCUCAGGUGUUUAAAAGGAUAAGAAAUGACCACAACAACCUUUCCCACCUCACUUGGACUCUAGGGAAGGUUUCGAGCAUCCUGAACAAGGUGAAAUUCUCACAUACUUGAGGUCAAAGCUCUGAGCAGGAGGACUAAGGGCUCUCUUGAUUCUUUCCUCUGGGCCCCAGCAGAGUGCCACAGGCAUAGGUUGAGAAAUCCCCAUCAGAGCCUGGAGGGGUCCAGGAGAAAGAAAUGGAAGAUGGCUGCUCAAUGAUCACGGGUAUCCAGUCCUUCAGUCAACAAAAAGGGAGCUCUUGACCUUCCUACACAAUCCAUCCCAAGUUCCCAAUGCAGGUGAGCAAUUAGGGAUGCAGAAUAUGCUAGGAAUAGGAGCAUGCAUUUAUCAUCCAGGGUCCUGCCAGGAAACAGAUGGCAAACUCACAUGGGGUAAGUGAGAAAGGUUUAAUAAAGAACUCUCUAUAAAGGCAAGGGCAAGGUUAAAGGAAACUAACAAGGAAUGGUGCAUUACCUUGGGGUUUGCAACAUCCUGAGAACUAAGCUCUGGGAGAGGGCUACCCAGGCACCACAACCAUCAAUACAAGAAUGCAGCUAAUGACAGCCUACAGGGAGGCAGGAUAGGAGUCACAAUAUAUCACCCACCCUUCUCUACCGCCCUCCCCAAAGCCCUGCAUGAGCUGCACAUUGCCAGAGGGCAAAUGAGCCCUGAUGUGGUCCAUGGACCAAGGCAGACAAGAAUGAAGAGUAGACCAGAGGGGCAAACAGAGAGUAGCCAGCACAAUCAUUCUAAAAUUAUGAGCAUAUGCAUGGACUUAGCUACAAGGAUAUUCAUCACAGCAUUAUUUGUAAAAGCAAAUAUAUGGAAAUAACCUAAAUGUUAGAUAGGGAGAAAAAAAUGAUGCCAUACCCACAUGAGGGCAGAGACUAUCUUACCUAUUUUUCUGUAUAAACUGCAGCAAUUGGAAUAAUGCU